AUAUUUGUGUGCAAUCUUUAUUUGUAUUACCUUAGGGCUGCAAGGCAUCAGAUGUGUGUGUGUGUUCUCGUUUUACUACAUUCGUGGGGUCCAAAAACCAGGAGUUCAGUAUACUUGUGGGGUCCCAACAGCUUUGUGGGGCCAAAAUGCUGGACCCCCCAACUUUAAAGGGCAGUUUUAAGACUUGGUUUUAGGAUUAGGGUUAGAAACAGGUUAGGGUGAAGGUAAGGGUUAAGGUUAGCCAUUCAGUUGUGAUGGAUAAGGUUAGGGUAAGGGGCUAGGGAAUGCAUUAUAUCAAUGACAGGUCCCCACAAAGACAGUGAAACAAAGGUGUGUGUG